AUUGAACGCUGGCGGCAGGCCUAACACAUGCAAGUCGAGCGGAUGAAGGGAGCUUGCUCCUGGAUUCAGCGGCGGACGGGUGAGCAAUGCCUAGGAAUCUGCCUGGUAGUGGGGGAUAACGUCCGGAAACGGGCGCUAAUACCGCAUACGUCCUGAGGGAGAAAGUGGGGGAGCUUCGGACCUCACGCUCUCAGAUGAGCCUAGGUCGGAGUAGCUAGUUGGUGGGGUAAAGGCCUACCAAGGCGACGAUCCGUAACUGGUCUGAGAGGAUGAUCAGUCACCCUGGAGCUUGGACACGGUCCUGACUCCUACGGGAGGCAGCAGUGGGGAAUAUUGGACAGUGGGCGAAAGCCUGGUCCAGCCAUGCCGCGUGUGUGAAGAAGGUCUUCGGAUUGUAAAGCACUUUAAGUUGGGGGGAAGGGCAGUAAGUUAAUACCUUGCUGUUUUGACGUUACCAACAGAAUAAGCACCGGCUAACUUCGUG
rnacentral:rRNA from 1 species